rnacentral:rRNA from 1 species
GACGAACGCUGGCGGCGUGCUUAGCACAUGCAAGUCGAACGGAAAGGCCCUGCUUUUGUGGGGUGCUCGAGUGGCGAACGGGUGAGUAACACGUGAGUAACCUGCCCUUGACUUUGGGAUAACUUCAGGAAACUGGGGCUAAUACCGGAUAGGAGCUCCUGCUGCAUGGUGGGGGUUGGAAAGUUUCGGCGGUUGGGGAUGGACUCGCGGCUUAUCAGCUUGUUGGUGGGGUAGUGGCUUACCAAGGCUUUGACGGGUAGCCGGCCUGAGAGGGUGACCGGCCACAUUGGGACUGAGAUACGGCCCAGACUCCUACGGGAGGCAGCAGUGGGGAAUAUUCACAAUGGGCGGAAGCCUGAUGCAGCAACGCCGCGUGCGGGAUGACGGCCUUCGGGUUGUAAACCGCUUUCGCCUGUGACGAAGCGUGAGUGACGGUAAUGGGUAAAGAAGCACCGGCUAACUACGUG